rnacentral:rRNA from 1 species
AUUGAACGCUGGCGGCAGGCCUAACACAUGCAAGUCGAACGAGUGGCGGACGGGUGAGUAAUGUCUGGGAAACUGCCCGAUGGAGGGGGAUAACUACUGGAAACGGUAGCUAAUACCGCAUACCAUCGGAUGUGCCCAGAUGGGAUUAGCUUGUAGGUGAGGUAACGGCGCACCUAGGCGACGAUCCCUAGCUGGUCUGAGAGGAUGACCAGCCAACGUGGAACUGGGACACGGUCCAGACUCCGACGGUGGGCAUCAGUUGGGAAUAUUGCACAAUGGGCGCAAUCCUGAUGCAGCCAUGCCGCGGGUAUGAAGAAGGCCUUCGGGUUGUAAAGUACUUUCAGCGGGGAGGCGUUACCCGCAGAAGAAUCACCGGCUAACUCCGUGCCAGCAGCCGCGGUAAUUC